rnacentral:rRNA from 1 species
AGAGUUUGAUCCUGGCUCAGGACGAACGCUGGCGGCGUGCCUAAUACAUGCAAGUCGAACGCACUCUCGUUUAGAUUGAAGGAGCUUGCUCCUGAUUGAUAAACAUUUGAGUGAGUGGCGGACGGGUGAGUAACACGUGGGUAACCUGCCCUAAAGUGGGGGAUAACAUUUGGAAACAGGUGCUAAUACCGCAUAAAACCUAACACCGCAUGGUGUAGGGUUGAAAGAUGGUUUCGGCUAUCACUUUAGGAUGGACCCGCGGUGCAUUAGUUAGUUGGUGAGGUAAAGGCUCACCAAGACCGUGAUGCAUAGCCGACCUGAGAGGGUAAUCGGCCACACUGGGACUGAGACACGGCCCAGACUCCUACGGGAGGCAGCAGUAGGGAAUCUUCCACAAUGGACGAAAGUCUGAUGGAGCAACGCCGCGUGAGUGAAGAAGGUUUUCGGAUCGUAAAACUCUGUUGUUGGAGAAGAAUGUAUCUGAUAGUAACUGAUCAGGUAGUGACGGUAUCCAACCAGAAAGCCACGGCUAACUACGUGCCAGCAGCCGCGGUAAUACGUAGGUGGCAAGCGUUGUCCGGAUUUAUUGGGCGUAAAGCGAGCGCAGGCGGUUUCUUAAGUCUGAUGUGAAAGCCUUCGGCUCAACCGAAGAAGUGCAUCGGAAACUGGGAAACUUGAGUGCAGAAGAGGACAGUGGAACUCCAUGUGUAGCGGUGAAAUGCGUAGAUAUAUGGAAGAACACCAGUGGCGAAGGCGGCUGUCUGGUCUGUAACUGACGCUGAGGCUCGAAAGCAUGGGUAGCAAACAGGAUUAGAUACCCUGGUAGUCCUUGCCGUAAACGAUGAGUGCUAGGUGUUUGGAGGGUUUUCCGCCUUUAGUGCCGCAGCUAACGCAUUAAGCACUC